GUAAAAAAUGUGGAGAAGAAAGACAUAGGAGGGACGUUAUGGCUAUUAUGAGUAAUAUAGAUAAUAGAUUGGCUUAUCUUCAAUAUCAACUAUUAGUACAACAAUGUGAUACCAGAUAUUGCUUAUAACUCCCUUUAAGAUGUGCCUAACAAGAUUGUCUCUGUUCUUAAUAUAAUUUUCAGGGAUGUUGUCACCAUUCUCCGAGGUCUUAGGGAGACACUCAAACUCCUCCCCAACAGAGCUAAUCAAAUUAAUGCUCUGCGUGGGGAGGAGUUUGAUUGCGCGGCCCGAGCCUUCAGCAGAUCUAAUUUUGACCCAGAGUCAAAAUUAGAUGUCGUGUUUGUAGACGAUGAUGGUAUUGGAGAGGGGGCUGUGGAUGAAGGUGGUCCAACAAGGGAGUUCUGCCGCCUUCUCACCAGGCAGCUCCAAACACAUAGCAUUUUUGAAGGGCCCCUGGAAAAACGCACCUUGGCCCUAGAUAGUGUUGCUUUGCACAAUGGGAUAUACCGGAAGGUCGGCCAAAUGCUGAUAGUUUGCCUUGUGCAGGGAGGAGUGUCUCCAAAUUUCUUUUCAGAGCGCCUUUACCGACAGGUUUGUGGUUCAUCAUCUCUUCCGGGAAACAUAGAGGAGGUGAUGGACCACGCUCUUAAAGAAAAGCUCAGAAAGG
rnacentral:lncRNA from 1 species